rnacentral:rRNA from 1 species
AUUGAACGCUGGCGGCAGGCCUAACACAUGCAAGUCGAACGAGUGGCGGACGGGUGAGUAAUGUCUGGGAAACUGGCUGAUGGGGGGGGAUAACUAGUGGAAACGGUAGCUAAAACCGCAUACCAUCAUUUGUACCCAGAUGGGAAUAGCGAGUUGGUGGGGUAACGGCUAACAAAGGCGAUGAUACCUAGCUGGUCUGCUAGGCUGACCAGCCAACCUGGAACUGAGACACGGUCCAGACUCCUACGGGAGGAGUCAGUGGGGAAUAUUGCAAAAUGGGCGCAAGCCUGAUGCAGCCAUGCCGCGUGUAUGUCGAAGGCCUUCGGGUUGUAAAGUACUUUAAGCGGGGAGGCGUUACCCGAAGAAGAAGCACCGGCUAACUCCGUGCCAGCAGCCGCGGUAAUAC